UCCUCCAGAGAGACACUGUGAACCAAGUGAAGAACAGCUUCUGUACAACAAGAGAGGGACCAGAUUGAGAAAGUUGGGGAACCACGAGGGCUCUUGGGGAGCUGAGGGAACAACCCAGGACUGGAGAAAAUGUUAUUAUUUUACUCUGAAGCUUUGGCAAAAGCGGGAUUCAUGGAAAGGACCCUACCAAGUACUCUUGGUCACUGACACAGCUGCGCUCCACCUGUGCGAAUGCUGCAGGAGGCCUCACAAUCAAAUCGCCUGGGAAGAGUAGCUAACAUCCAGGGAGACUGCUUCCUCCCUAUUGUCAGAUGAAGGAACGGAAGUCACAUUUCUUUCCAGGCCUCCCUCCCCCUCUGACCCUUUUCCAGCCUAAUUCUUCGAAGGUCUGUUCAAUGUUUUUAUCCAUCUUUUGCCUUGAUAUGACCUGGAAAUAUAAUGCUAUUGUUCACAUAUCUCAGGCCGCUGCAAAAUGUGUUAUUCAACCUCCAAAUGAUUGUUGGACUUGUCACGGUACUGGUGAUCCUGUCGUUUUGCUUGUCACAAAACUUCUCCCUGAUUGCCAAUGCCUCACUUUCUCUGGAACAAACUCAGUCUCCUUGUUUUCAUGUCAGAUUCCUUUACCCUGAGUGUUCGUUUUCCUGUCUCUGGUUAACAGCCCGGGGAACCUAUAUAUCCAGGCUCUGUCCUCCACAAAAAAGGGGGUGGGGGCAUACAAGGCAAGGGUCAGUGUGCAGACCCUUAAACUUACUGGCCUCCAUGGCUGUCGCCUUUCCAGUCCCAAGGCAUAGACUCAAAUGAGAAGUCUCAGGAGGCAUUCAUGAUUCAAGAUGAGCUUCCUCUGGCAGAUCCCUACUUCCCUACUUCCCUGGCCAGGAGUAAAUGCAUGUGAGGCUAUGGUCAGGAACUUCUUAACUCUUGAAGAUACUGGACAACCUGCUGCUAAAACAAGAGCUGCCCAACAAAAACUCCUUAGACUCUCUGGCCAAAGUUGUUCUUGAUGAUAUGAUAGCCCUUGAUUCUAUUUUAGCUGAGAAGGGAGGUGUUUGUGCUGUGGCCCACACCACUUGGAUUGACAUUUCUGGGCAAGGUGUGACUCAACUACCUAAGAUCACUAACUAAGCCAGUUGGCUUCAAAAAAUGACUUUGAUUGAUGCGGGGAUCAUGGCUCUGAAGUGCACUCCAGGUGUUGGAAUUAUCUUGCUUAGGGCAUCUCCCUAGUGCACUGUUUUCUCUCAAAAGCUUUAAAUGCAUGUUCACAGCCACUAAUCACCAAGCAAAUUAUCUCCCUGAAACUGGAACAUCAGAAAAGGAACGAAGAGAAUGAGUAACUUAAAGAAUGUGAGCCCGACAUUACGACCAACCUGUGAAUACUAGUAUAUCACACAGAGGUUCAGCAAAAAACAAACAAACAAAAAAAAGUGAGAGCAGAGUAGUAGCUGGGAGCAGCACUAAGGCCUUAAGUUUUGAUUACAUCUCACAGUUAAGUCUGAUCAAAGCGGGGAGAAGGGGCAAAUUGUUUAAAAAAAGACAACAGGGCCAAAAUGGAGUCACUUAUGUUAAGCCUCAUGUCACCAAACCAAGACUGAGUUGCAGUUUUUUCCUGGAAAUGGAAUCUUAAACCAGUCCACCAAGAAUCGCCUGAUGAGCACUAAGUGAGGGAAUCUGCCUGCUAGACCCCUGCCCUCUUCUAGGAAAGUAACCUUGCAACAGCCAACUCACUCUUUGCCAAAUAUGUCUUUGUCCCUGCUCCCUUCUGCCUACAAGUCUUCCAUUUCAUCCAGUUUCAUGGAGCUCCUUUCUAUGCUGCCAGAUUCAUGAAUCACUGAAUAAAGCCAAUACGAUUUUUAAAAU